rnacentral:rRNA from 1 species
GUGGAGAAUAUUGGACAAUGGGCGAAAGCCUGAUCCAGCCAUGCCGCGUGUGUGAAGAAGGUCUUCGGAUUGUAAAGCACUUUAAGUUGGGAGGAAGGGCAGUAAGUUAAUACCUUGCUGUUUUGACGUUACCGACAGAAUAAGCACCGGCUAACUUCGUGCCAGCAGCCGCGGUAAUACGAAGGGUGCAAGCGUUAAUCGGAAUUACUGGGCGUAAAGCGCGCGUAGGUGGUUUUGUAAGUUGGAGGUGAAAUCCCCGGGCUCAACCUGGGAACUGCCUCCAAAACUGCAUGACUAGAGUACGGUAGAGGGUAGUGGAAUUUCCUGUGUAGCGGUGAAAUGCGUAGAUAUAGGAAGGAACACCAGUGGCGAAGGCGACUACCUGGACUGAUACUGACACUGAGGUGCGAAAGCGUGGGGAGCAAACAGGAUUAGAAACCCCUGUAGUCC